AGGAGACUCACAAGGGGAACGGUGGAGAUAUACUUGAAGACCUGGAGCUCAGGAAGCAGGUUGGCAUGGAGCUUGUGGAGGAACAGGGAAACACACCUCAGUAAUGACAAGUGCAUUAGCAAGUGUCACAGAAGGGACAGGAUUCAGGGGAG